rnacentral:tRNA from 1 species
GUUAAUGUAGCUUAACAUAAAGCGAUGCACUGAAAAUGCUUAGAUGGGUAUUAUUACCCCAUGAACA